rnacentral:rRNA from 1 species
UACGUAGGGGGCGAGCGUUGUUCGGAAUUACUGGGCAUAAAGCGCACGUAGGCGGCGACGUAAGUUGGGUGUGAAAUCCCUCGGCCCAACCGAGGAACUGCGCCCAGUACUGCGUUGCUUGAGGAUCCAAGGGGUGCAUGGAAUUCCCGGUGGAGCGGUGAAAUGCGUUGAUAUCGGGAGGAACUCCGGCGGCGUAGGCAGCGCCCUGGCUGUGAAUAAAGCUGACACUGAGGCACGAAAGCUGGGGGAGCAAACAGG